UACGGAGGGUGCAAGCGUUAUCCGGAUUCACUGGGUUUAAAGGGUGCGUAGGUGGGUUGGUAAGUCCGUGGUGAAAUCUCCGAGCUUAACUCGGAAACUGCCGUGGAUACUAUCAACCUUGAAUACUGUGGAGGUAAGCGGAAUAUGUCAUGUAGCGGUGAAAUGCUUAGAUAUGACAUAGAACACCGAUAGCGAAGGCAGCUUGCUACACAGUCAUUGACACUGAGGCACGAAAGCGUGGGGAGCAAACAGG
rnacentral:rRNA from 1 species